GUGUGAUCUACCCUUGGUCAGGAUGAAGUUCCGGUAACACGGGAUGGAGGUCCGAACUAGUAAACGUUGAAAAGUUUUUGGAUGAACUGAGGGUAGGGGUGAAAGGCUAAUCAAACUGAGAAAUAGCUCGUACUCCCCGAAAUGCCUUUAGGGGCAGUGUGGAGGUUGAGUUUAAUACAGGUAGAGCUACCAAUAGGACUAGGGGGAGUCACAUCCUACCAAAUCCUGAUGAACUCCGAAUGGUAUUAAAUAUACUCUGCAAUGAGGGCAUGGGUGCUAAGGUCCGUGUCCGAGAGGGAAAGAACCCAGACCUGCAGCUAAGGUCCCAAAAUCUACACUAAGUUGAACUAAGGCGGUUCAGUUGCUUAGACAGCCGGGAUGUUUGCUUGGAAGCAGCAAUUCAUUUAAAGAGUGCGUAACAGCUCACUGGUCGAGCGACAGAGCAUCGAUAAUAAUCGGGCAUCAAGUGUAGUACCGAAGCUCAGGAUUUAGCAGUAAUGCUAAGUGGUAGGGGAGCAUUCUAACAGCGGAGAAGCAGUAUGGUAAUGUAUUGUGGAGCGGUUAGAAAAGCAAAUGUAGGCAUAAGUAACGAUAAGGCAGGCGAGAAACCUGCCCACCGAUAGACUAAGGGUUCCGCGGCAAUGUUAAUCAACCGCGGGUAAGUCGGGACCUAAGCGGUAGCCGAGAGGCGAACGUGAUGGCCAAUGGGUUAAUAUUCCCAUACUACCGUAUUGAGCGAUGAGGUGACGGAGGAGUGACAAUUCCGCGAACUGACGAAAUAGUUCGUUAAAGGGCGUAGGUAUAGGACUGGUAGGAAAAUCCGCCGGUUUUGCUGAAACCUGAUAGUAUCUGGAGGCUUCGGCCGAAGGAAUAGUGAAUGUAAGCAGACUUCCAAGAAAACCCUCUAAGCAUAUUGAUAUGGUACCCGUACCGGAAACCGACACAGGUAGUCAAGGAGAAUAUCCUGAGGUGCUCGAGUGAUCCAUGGCUAAGGAACUAGGCAAAUUAACCCUGUAACUUCGGGAAAAGGGGUGCCUCGCUGUAGCAAUACAGCAGGUCGCAGAGAAAUGGCCCAGGCGACUGUUUAACAAAAACACAUGGCUAUGCGAAAUCGAAAGAUUAUGUAUAUGGCCUGACACCUGCCCGGUGCUGGAAGGUUAAGGGGGGAUGUUAGCCGCAAGGCGACGCAUUGAACUGAAGCCCCAGUAAACGGCGGCCGUAACUAUAACGGUCCUAAGGUAGCGAAAUUCCUUGUCGGGUAAGUUCCGACCUGCACGAAUGGUGUAACGAUCUGGGCACUGUCUCAGCCAUGAGCUCGGUGAAAUUGUAGUCACGGUGAAGAUGCCGUGUACCCGUCACGGGACGGAAAGACCCCAUGCACCUUUACUAUAGCUUCGCAUUGACAUUGGGUAGAUGAUGUGUAGGAUAGGUGGGAGGCUCUGAUCCUGUGCCGCUAGGUAUAGGGGAGCCAACAGUGAAAUACCACCCG
rnacentral:rRNA from 1 species